rnacentral:rRNA from 1 species
GGCAGGCUAAUACAUGCAAGUCGGACGGGAUUGAAGAGCUUGCUUUUCAUGAGAGUGGCGCACGGGUGCGUAACACGUAUGUAACCUACCUUGUUCAGGGGGAUAGCCUCUCGAAAGAGAGAUUAAGACCGCAUAAAAUCACAAUGUGGCAUCACAAAAUGAUCAAAUAUUUAUAGGAACAAGAUGGGCAUGCGGAACAUUAGCUAGUUGGUAAGGUAACGGCUUACCAAGGCUACGAUGUUUAGGGGAUCUGAGAGGAUGACCCCCCACACUGGUACUGAGACACGGACCAGACUCCUACGGGAGGCAGCAGUAAGGAAUAUUGGUCAAUGGGCGGAAGCCUGAACCAGCCAUGCCGCGUGCAGGAAGACGGCCCUAUGGGUUGUAAACUGCUUUUGCAGGGGGAAUAAACCUCAUUACGUGUAAUGAGCUGAAUGUACUCUGAGAAUAAGGAUCGGCUAACUCCGUGCCAGCAGCCGCGGUAAUACGGAGGAUCCAAGCGUUAUNGGAUUUAUUGGGUUUAAAGGGUGCGUAGGUGGCUUUUUAAGUCAGGGGUG